UACAGAGGUCUCAAGCGUUGUUCGGAUUCAUUGGGCGUAAAGGGUGCGUAGGUGGCGGGGUAAGUCAGGUGUGAAAUCUCGGGGCUCAACCCCGAAACUGCACUUGAUACUGCCUUGCUCGAGUACUGGAGAGGAGAUUGGAAUUUACGGUGUAGCAGUGAAAUGCGUAGAUAUCAGGAAGAACACCCGUGGCGAAGGCGGCUCUCUGGGACGGUACUGACGCUGAGGAGCGAAAGCGUGGGGAGCGAACAGG
rnacentral:rRNA from 1 species